UUUGUCAGAUGGGCCAGAGAGCCUGAACCUCUGUAUUUUUGUCAGAUUGCCCAAAGUUUGAGAACCACUACUCUGGAACAUACUUACUUCACAUCUGGCAGAGGAAGUUCAAAAUAAAUAAGGUAAUCUAAAAAUGCAGAGCUUGGAGGAAAGGAACUCCACAAGGCAUAAAGAUUCAUCUCAGGAAUUCUGAAGUUUGGUGGAAACAAAAGGCCUGAAUGUGGAGAAUUAGGAAAUUCCCUUAGAAGGAGAGAGAAACAUCUCAGAGUCCCUUGAGAUGUUGGGAAAGGCGUGUUUUCUAGGAAGGGAAUGUUAGGAUACAAAGUGCAAAAAAAUGUUUGGUGUUCCUAGAACAGAAGCUUGUCCUGGCAGAGCACAAGACUGGAGUCAGAGAAUCCAAUUCUAUGGGCCUAGUGAUGCCCCGUGCUGAAGGUAAUGAGAGCUUGUCAUGGAGUUGCGGCUACUGUGACGGAGACAAGUAAAGGGCCUGGAAAUAUAAUAAGAGCAAAAAUAAAUACAUUUGAUUGUUUUCAGAAUUGAUUUCUUCUCCAAAAAUGACCUAGAGUUUCAAUAACCAACUACUUUGUAGAUACUAGUGAACCAAAAUUGUGCACAUUAUCGUCUCCCUCUAUAGUACACUCAGGAGUUUUGGAGCUGGAAAAAAAACCUUUGUUUUUUUCAAAAGAAAAAACAGAUUCACAAGUCUCUGAGCUGGGAAAACAAAGAAAGAAAACAAACAAAACCUUCACACCUUUUGUCCAGAGGAUCUGAUUUGUUCCUAAAGAUACUCAUACUGUAAAUUUAGCUUAGAAAUGUUUGCAGAUCCAGCUUCUUAAAACCCAGUAGCUAGGGCAGUGGUGUGAUUGUCCAGCUACGAAUGGAGAUUCGAGAUCACCUUCCCUUAUUUCACUAGUCUUCCCUGCCCUUGGCUCACAAGCCCUUACCAGUUCUGUUCUUCAAAUCUUGACCACUGGCAAUAAUGUCCCAUUGUAUAUUUACAAUUUACAGAGCAUUUUAAUUCACAUCAUCACAUUUAUUUUUCAAACAAUCAUCCAUGUUGAACAAGAUAGACUUCAUAUACUUCCAAUGACUUUCUGAAGCCACAUAGAUCAUAAAAUGUUAAGUGAGGAUCUGAUCCCAUUGUUUUGAUUCAGUGCUUUAUUCUUUCCCUCCAUUCACCAGAUUUUUUCAUGUCCUUUGAGGUAGAUGUCUAAUAAAUGUUGGAAUCGUAAUAUUUUUCAUCUGGAAGGGGACUUUAACGGACUUGUGUUCUCUCCUAUGUACUUCAGAGCUAGAGAAGUAGUCACCCUGAGAAUUGUGGUGGUUGAACCAAAGUCAGAAAACAAGUAGCAGAUCCACGACUGAUUCCCUGAUUAUUCUUUGAAACUACAUCCCCUUCUGUUCUCAUAUCCUAAUAGUUAGGCUCUAUGGCAAUUCCCUUUACUGCUGCUGACCACCUUUCCCAGAGCGGCCCAGCUUGGAGCUUUUGCCUUGGACCACUGGUGGCGAUGGAUAUUUUCUCCUUGGAUUUCUUUCUUCCCAUCCCCCUGAAAUAACAGGAGCAGAGGCAGCAUAGGUCAUUUGUCAGCUCUCUUGUGAUGGUAAUUUCUGUCUCACAUAUUUUCA